CACAAAACAGAGCUGGUAGGCCACGACAGAUCCAGCCUGGUCUAUAUGCUGUGUUAAAGGACCACUGUAGUCACCCAGACCACUUCAGCUAAAUGAAGUUGUCUGGAUGCCAGGUGCCCCAGGUUUUACCCUUCAGAUGUAAACAUAGCAGUUUCAGAGGGUGGGGGGACCCUAAGGAAUAUAUAGUUUCAUGAAAACAGAUUUGUUUUCCUGAUACUAUAGUGAUCCUUUAACAUUUCCAAACAAUUUCAUGAAGUGCCAUGUUAUUAUAUGAAAUAC